UCAUUGAUCCCAUCAAAUCACUUGAAGGUGAAAUAAUUAGCUGAAGUUGCUACAAGCUAGUCCAGCUCUCAUGGGUUCUUUCCUAACAAAUAAUAAAAGUGGUCAAAAUGCACUUUUGCAACUACUUUUCAAGAACCAAAAGGUUGAAACCCAAGUGUGCUUCUCUGAAGUGUAGUUUGAGAAAAUGUACUUUUCAGCCUUCACCACC
rnacentral:lncRNA from 1 species